AUUUUCUCUCUCCUGUCUCUUCGCUCUCCCUUCUCUUUAGAAAAAUCUGUGAAGAACUCUUAAACUCUACAUCUCUUUUGAUCUUCUUCACUUCUCCUUUGUGACUCAGCUAUUAAGCUCAUCCACUUCAACAAACCUCUGUAUGUCUUCCACAUAUAUGACCAUGAUGGUCAACCCUCGAUUGGUUAAAUUUUCGAGAAUCAUGAUGACUCUUAUCGGAUUUCUCAGAUAGUCCACAUGGGGACAUUUUCUAUCAAGGACUUGAAUCUUUUUCCGAUGACUCCACCUGAAACUUCAUUCUUGAGAUCUUCGUGACCUCUUCUUCGCAAAAUUUAACUCCUUCUCGACUUGUAAUUAAGUAGAUACCAAGAUCUCUACUGAUGUACAAAAACUAACUCAAGAUAUCACUUUGUUUCUGCAUAACAAGACAUCUCCUAAUUUACCUAGAGCCACCCAGUGUCUUCAGCACACAUUUAAGAGAUAACAAAAGAUAUGAAGCUUCGUGCCAGGUACGCACUUAGUUAGGAAGUCUGCCGGAUUCUUAGAAGUAUGGAUCUUUGCUAGGUUUAUGAUCCCUUAAGAGACUAUAUCCCUGAUGAAAUUAAACUUUGUAUCCAUGUGCUUAUUCCUUUGAUGUGAACUGCGUUUUUAGCUAGAUAAAUUGCACUCUGUGAAUCAUAGUGUAUCCUAACACUGUCUUGAUUGUACCCUAAUUUUUUGCAAAACCCUUUCAACCAAAUAACUUCCUUCACUUGUAGAAUUAAGGCCAUGAACUCCGCCUCGGUGGUGGAGAACACCACUACUGACUGACUUCCAGGACAAAAUAUUCCCUCUAACUUGAAACACAAUACCCGAAACCGACCUUCUCUUGUCUUCAUUCGUAGCAUAAUCUGAACCAGAAUAACCUUCAACAUUGAACUCUAAAGAUUUCUUAAAUGUCAAACACUGAUUAUAAGCCCAUGCCUCAUAUCUCAGAACCCACUUCACAGCUUCCUAAUUGUCUAUGCGUGGAAUCAGUGUCAGUGGAUUUGUUCAUCAAUAUCACAUAUGUUGCAUGUAGUUGAUCAUCAUAUGUAACAAUAUUAGAGAUUCUAUGUUGA